GCCUACUCUUUGCACCCCGGCUCCAACGAGUCGAGUUGUUUGGGAAUGCAGCUCUAAGUGGGUGGUAAAUUCCAUCUAAAGCUAAAUAUUGGCSAGAGACCGAUAGCGAACAAGUACAGUGAUGGAAAGAUGAAAAGCACUUUGAAAAGAGAGUGAAACAGCACGUGAAAUUGUUGAAAGGGAAGGGCUUGCAAGCAGAUACGGUUUUACCGGGCCAGCGUCAAAUAAACGGGGGGGAAAAGGGGGAAAGAAUGUGGCGCGUGCCUUCGGGUUCGCGUGYUAUAGCUUUCUCUAAUACCCCCAUGUUUGUUUGAGGCCUGCGAUUCUAGGACGCUGGCUUAAUGGUUGCCAGCCGCCCGUCUUGAAACACGUGACCGGGAACCCUCUUCUCUCUCCUGGCCCAUUAAUUGUGGGGGGCGUUUAUGAAUGAACUUUAUCAUACAACUGGUUCUUUCUUUCAGG
rnacentral:rRNA from 1 species